UUAUGUACAAAUUGUGAAAUAGAAUGUGAUGGAUUUACUGUCUCUAUAGACCAAGAAUGCCCCCAGCAACCAAAUUCGGUUGAUUGUGGUGUCUACUUAAUGAAAUUUAUGGAAUGUCUUUCCCGUGGAGAUAUAUUUGAUUUCAACUCGGGGCCAAUGAAUUUUGAACGAAAAAAGUUGGUUGCACAACUGAUGCUGGGCAAAAUGAUUACACCACAGUAAUGUGACAUGUA